rnacentral:rRNA from 1 species
GAUGAACGCUGGCGGCAUGCCUAACACAUGCAAGUCGAUCGGUAAGGCUCUUCGGAGUACACGAGAGGCGGACGGCUGAGUAACGCGUAGGAACACACCCUGCAGUGAGGGAUAAGACACCGAAAGGUGUUCUAAUACCGCAUACGGUCUUCGGAUUAAAGCAUUUAUGCGCUGAAGGAGUGGCCUGCGUCAUAUUAGAUAGUUGGUGAGGUAAUGGCUCACCAAGUCGAUGAUGUGUAGCUGGUCUGAGAGGAUGAUCAGCCAGACUGGAACUGAGACACGGUCCAGACUCCCACGGGAGGCAGCAGUGAGGAAUAUUUCACAAUGAGCGAAAGCGUGAUGGAGCAAUGCCGCGUGCAGGAUGAAGGCCCUCGGGUUGUAAACUGCUUUUAUAAGAGAAGAUUAUGACGGUAACUUAUGAAUAAGGGACGGCUAACUACGUG